GUCAAUUUCUGGAUGAUACAGAUGUCAUUUUUAUAACAACUUACAGUUUAAAAAGUUAUAGCCAAUCAUCUUUAUAGGUAUAUCUAAUCUAUUUUGUUUCAAUUUCAGGAAGCAUAUAGGAUCCAAGUCUAAUUUGUUCUUGAGUAUAGAGCAAGAUUACCUACAUGUGAAUCUGAGCAAUAGCACUUAAUAUCGGUAUGACUUCAGACAAUGUAAACUGUAGCUAAGUUUUCUCAUCUGUAAGUGGGUUGACAAUAGUAUCACUUUCACUGGCUUAUUGUGAGGAAUAAAUGUGUUGAUUAAUGAAUUACCCUAAGCUCCUGAGACUGUGCCAGGUACCCAGUAAGAAGGCAUUAAACAAUUACCGUUAUUGAUUAUAAAGAAUAUAUUGCUGGAGUCAUAGAGGUCUGAGUUAAAUUCCCAAUCCUAGAUUUAUUAAUUAAAUGACAUUGGGCAAGUUAGCAAACCUGUUUGAUCUCAGUCUUAACAUAAAUCUAAUGGGAUUGCUGUAUUAGAUAAGCGUAUCUCAUGUAACUUAUUAGCACAUGUUUUGGCACGUUUAGAUGUGUGAUAAAUGGUAGCUCAAAAAAGAAUGUAGUUAAAGGCAGACGGUAAAACAGUUGCAGGUAACUGUAAAAUACUGGAUUAAAAAAUCUAUAUAAAGACACUAAAAGGCAUUUAAAGUAAACAGAAAUGUGUAACUGGCAGGGUUUUAAAAACCUGUAACUGGAAUGUGUAAGAAUUGCGUUUACAGCUUAUGGUCCCAGGGUGAGACCCAACUCUCACAGAUAUGGCUGUGGAAAUAAAUUGCAGCCUUACUAGCUAAUGAUAUCAAGAUCAGAGCUUGGGAUUGGGAAACAGCUAGAAAUUUAAAGGAAAACUUGGACAGCACAAAACUUAGAAGUAAGACAAAUUCAGAGUGUAAACUGUCCAAAUCAUGGUUGGCUGCUGAACUACAUACGUACAGACAAGAGGCUUGAUGAAAAUUAAACAGACGCUAGAGAGAAGUCUGAAAAAUGACCUCAAACUGAAGAUGCAGCCAGUUGGUACUGACUAUGGCCAUAGCCCUGCUCUUUUUUCUCCCAGGAUAACGGGGACAGCUGUGGGUUGCUGCAUGGUGAGGACCGUGACCUCCAACCUCUUGGUAGGCUCAUAGCUUGGCUCCUUUACAAUUGCCUUCCCUGUCAUCCAUAAAUGUAUAUGUGUAUUUACAUAUCUGGUUUUAGAAACAUAUUUGCCAAUUAAAUGGAAGAUGUUCCAUCCUAUUACUGGAACCUGAGCAUAAUUAUAUCAGCUCCCUUGUAAGUCUUUCUAGCAGAGACCCAAGCAUCAAUGGUAUUUUAAACCAAUUUUCGUGAGUUUAUUAGCAGUAACUAGAGAUAGUUUUAAUAGUGAUCCUCCAUAUUAAAAUGGUCUGUAUAAUAAUGGCAUUUUAAAUUUGAACGCAUAUUUUUGUAUAUUAGGUCACUGUACACUUACUUUCCAUGUGGCUUAUUUGUGGGAGGCUGUACUUAUAAUGAUGAAAGUAUUAGAGUUAGAAAAAUCUUGGUUCUAGUGAGAGGUACUGAAAAAAUUAUUUAACUUCUCAAAACCUCAGAUUUGUCACCUUUGGUUAGCCUUGUCAGGAGGGAGGAGCAUAACAGUUAUGUAGGGAGGAUCCCUUGACUUUCUCUAGAGCAUCCCCACCCCUUUCACCUUGCUACUCUCUAUGCUAGUAUCUUGUGUUUUUUUUUCCUAGCAUUUCUCAAACCUGAUACGGUUUUCUAGAAUUACUAUCUUAUUACAUAAAGACAAUGUAAGCCC
rnacentral:lncRNA from 1 species